rnacentral:rRNA from 1 species
AGUGAACGCUGGCGGUAGGCCUAACACAUGCAAGUCGAACGUCAUCACAGUAAGAGCUUGCUCUUACGGGUGGCGUGUGUCGGACGGGUGAGGAAUGCAUCGGAAUCUACUUUUUCGUGGCGGAUAACGUAGGGAAACUUACGCUAAUACCUCAUACGACAUACGGGUUAAACCAGGGUAUCUUCGUACCUUGCCCUAUUGACUGAGCCGAUGUCGGGUUAGCUAGUUGGCGGGGUAAAGACCCACCAAGCCGACGCUACGUAGCUGGUCUGAGAGGAUGAUAAGACAAACUGGAACUGAGACACGGUCAAGACUCCUACGGGAGGCAGAAGUGGGAAAUAUUGGACAAUGGGAGAAAGCCUGAUCAAGACAUACCGCGUGGGAAAAGAAGGCCUUCGGGUUGUAAAGCAAGUUUGAUGGGAAAGAAAAGCAAAAAGUUAAUAACCCGAUGUACUGACGGUACAAAAAGAAUAAGCACCGGCUAACUUCGUG